UUCGCAAUGCCCGAAAGGGUGACGGAGCGACGCCGCGUGGGCGAUGAAGGCCUUCGGGUUGUAAAGCCCUGACACGUGGUAAGAAUGGCGGGGAGUUAAUAGCUCGUCCGUUUGACGCUACCACGAGAGGAAGCCCCGGCUAAUUCCGUGCCAGCAGCCGCGGUAAUACGGAAGGGGCCAGCGUUGCUCGGAAUCACUGGGCUUAAAGCGCAUGUAGGCGGGGACGUAAGUCAGGAGUGGAAACCCCCGGCUUAACCGGGGGAGGUCUUUUGAAACUGCGUCUCUUGAGUGCGGGAGGGGAGAGUGGAAUUCCCGGUGGAGCGGUGAAAUGCGUAGAUAUCGGGAGGAACGCCGGUGGCGAAAGCGACUCUCUGGCCCGCUACUGACGCUGAGGUGCGAAAGCUAGGGGAGCAAACGGGAUUAGAUACCCCGGUAGUCCUAGCCCUAAACGAUGGGCACUAAGUAGAGGGGUUUU
rnacentral:rRNA from 1 species